UACGUAGGGUCCGAGCGUUGUCCGGAAUUAUUGGGCGUAAAGAGCUCGUAGGCGGUUCGUCGCGUCGGCUGUGAAAUCCCGGAGCUCAACUCCGGGUCUGCAGUCGAUACGGGCGGACUCGAGUUCGGCAGGGGAGACUGGAAUUCCUGGUGUAGCGGUGAAAUGCGCAGAUAUCAGGAGGAACACCGGUGGCGAAGGCGGGUCUCUGGGCCGAUACUGACGCUGAGGAGCGAAAGCGUGGGGAGCGAACAGG
rnacentral:rRNA from 1 species